rnacentral:rRNA from 1 species
GACGGACGCUGGCGGCAUGCCUAAUACAUGCAAGUCGAGCGAACAGAUGAAGUGCUUGCACUUCUGACGUUAGCGGCGAACGGGUGAGUAACACGUAAGAAAUCUACCUAUAAGCGGGGGAUAACAUUCGGAAACGGGUGCUAAUACCGCAUAAUAUCUUCUUCCGCAUGGAAGAAGAUUGAAAGACGGCUCUGCUGUCACUUAUAGAUGACCUUGCGGUGCAUUAGUUAGUUGGUGGGGUAACGGCCUACCAAGACGAUGAUGCAUAGCCGACCUGAGAGGGUGAUCGGCCACAUUGGGACUGAGACACGGCCCAAACUCCUACGGGAGGCAGCAGUAGGGAAUCUUCCGCAAUGGGCGAAAGCCUGAAGGAGCAAUGCCGCGUGAGUGAAGAAGGCCUUCGGGUCGUAAAACUCUGUUAUAAGAGAAGUACAAAUUGUAGAGUAACUGCUACAGUCUUGACGGUAUCUUAUCAGAAAGCCACGGCUAACUACGUGCCAGCCGCCGCCGUAA